AGUCCAGCAGGCGGCGCUGUGAACACGGAAACAGUGAAGAAGAGCCGCGUUUCCGGUGUUGUUAUCCAAUCAGGAGCGCGUGCGUUUUAUUUUGAACGCAUCACUGGCGGGUAAAUCGAUAACGCUCUUUCUCUUCAGGAUAAAAAAAAACGGUAACGAUCAGAAAAGCGCGUGUGAUCCGCGAAGAUGUGUCCUGCAGGAGGCGCUGCAGCUGGAGUCAGAGAGACGCAUCACAGCUGAAGAAGACCAGGAGAGAUCACAGCUCUGCACAUCUCUUUCAUUCAGCUCUCAAGUGGUAAUCUCCAGACCGAUGGAUGUCCUUCUGCGUGGAGUUGUGGGGGAUAAACAGUGCUGUCUGUAGAACAGAAGAUGUGUUUUCCAGUAGUGCUGACUCCAAUCUUUUUAAAGCACUGUGCGUGAUCAGAUCGAAUCCUUCUGUAAAUGUAAUAUCGGUGUGUAUUCUCUUGAUUGUGUAUUAAACGAGCUGUGCUUCUGUAGAAAACGCCAUGAACCAGAGUAAACUGGAAUGACUGAGACCGUCAGACAGGUGAAAUAUGAAAACUGAUAUCUUGUAAAUCUGUUGAGCAGUGUAGCGUGUACAUCUUCUGACAGACGCGGUCCUGAUCUACACAAGCUCCUGGACUUUACUGAAAGAGUUGCUGUAGAGUCAGAAAUGUGUAGAUUCGUUUGGUGUCUUUCAUUUAAACUAAACUGAAAACCUUUGUAGGCCAAUCAGUUCAUUUCGUAAGUGAUAAAUUAGUGUAUAUGAACAGUUUAAUAAAUGUUAUUGUCUUAAA